rnacentral:tRNA from 1 species
AGCGGGAUGGGGCAGCUAGGAGUGCCCGUUGGGCUCAUAACCCAAAGGUCGAAGGUUCAAAUCCUUCUCCCGCUA